CUGGCGGCGUGCUUAACACAUGCAAGUCGAACGAUGAUGCCCAGCUUGCUGGGUGGAUUAGUGGCGAACGGGUGAGUAACACGUGAGUAACCUGCCCUUCACUCUGGGAUAACUCCGGGAAACCGGGGCUAAUACUGGAUAUGACUCCUCCUCGCAUGGGGUGGGAGUGGAAAGCUUUUGUGGUGGAGGAUGGACUCGCGGCCUAUCAGCUUGUUGGUGAGGUAGUGGCUCACCAAGGCGACGACGGGUAGCCGGCCUGAGAGGGCGACCGGCCACACUGGGACUGAGACACGGCCCAGACUCCUACGGGAGGCAGCAGUGGGGAAUAUUGCACAAUGGGCGAAAGCCUGAUGCAGCGACGCCGCCGUGAGGGAUGAAGGCCUUCGGGUUGUAAACCUC
rnacentral:rRNA from 1 species